GAGUUUGAUCCUGGCUCAGGACGAACGCUGGCGGCGUGCUUAACACAUGCAAGUCGAACGGAAAGGCCCCGCUCGCGGGGUACUCGAGUGGCGAACGGGUGAGUAACACGUGGGUGAUCUGCCCUGCACUUCGGGAUAAGCCUGGGAAACUGGGUCUAAUACCGGAUAUGACCUCCCUUUAGUGUGGGGGGUGGAAAGAUUUAUCGGUGCAUCACGAGCCCGCGGCCUAUCAGCUUGUUGGUGGGGUAAUGGCCUACCAAGGCGUCGACGGGUAGCCGGCCUGAGAGGGUGGACGGCCACAUUGGGACUGAGAUACGGCCCAGACUCCUACGGGAGGCAGCAGUGGGGAAUAUUGCACAAUGGGCGGAAGCCUGAUGCAGCGACGCCGCGUGGGGGAUGACGGCCUUCGGGUUGUAAACCUCUUUCGACAGGGACGAAGUGAAAAUGACGGUACCUGUAUAAGAAGCACCGGCUAACUACGUGCCAGCAGCCGCGGUAAUACGUAGGGUGCGAGCGUUGUCCGGAAUUACUGGGCGUAAAGAGCUCGUAGGUGGUUUGUCACGUCGUCUGUGAAAUUCCGGGGCUUAACCUCGGGCGUGCAGGCGAUACGGGCAAUACUUGAGUGCUGUAGGGGAGACUGGAAUUCCUGGUGUAGCGGUGAAAUGCGCAGAUAUCAGGAGGAACACCAAUGGCGAAGGCAGGUCUCUGGGCAGUUACUGACGCUGAGGAGCGAAAGCAUGGGUAGCGAACAGGAUUGGAUACCCUGGUAGUCCAUGCCGUAAACGGUGGGCGCUAGGUGUAGGGGACUUCCACGUUCUCUGUGCCGUAGCUAACGCAUUAAGCGCCCCGCCUGGGGAGUACGGCCGCAAGGCUAAAACUCAAAGGAAUUGACGGGGGCCCGCACAAGCGGCGGAGCAUGUGGAUUAAUUCGAUGCAACGCGAAGAACCUUACCUGGGCUUGACAUACACCGGACCGGCGUAGAGAUACGUCUUCCCUUGUGGCCGGUGUACAGGUGGUGCAUGGUUGUCGUCAGCUCGUGUCGUGAGGUGUUGGGUUAAGUCCCGCAACGAGCGCAACCCUUGUCUUAUGUUGCCAGCACGUGAUGGUGGGGACUCAUGAGAGACUGCCGGGGUCAACUCGGAGGAAGGUGGGGAUGACGUCAAAUCAUCAUGCCCCUUAUGUCCAGGGCUUCACACAUGCUACAAUGGUCGGUACAGCAGGUCGCGAACUCGUGAGAGUAAGCCAAUCCUUCAAAGCCGGCCUCAGUUCGGAUUGGGGUCUGCAACUCGACCCCAUGAAGUCGGAGUCGCUAGUAAUCGCAGAUCAGCAACGCUGCGGUGAAUACGUUCCNCGGGCCUUGUACACACCGCCCGUC
rnacentral:rRNA from 1 species